UGUAUGUUGAAGCUUUGUGAGUGGAGCAUGUAGUGUUCCCUUAAUUUCCCGAGUGAGGAAAACUUCUCGGUUGGAGACUUGAAAAAUCCAAGUCACUGAGUGGUUGUGAGACUGCCGAGUAUUAAGGUGCAGUAGCAUAUGGUGGGAGUCCCCCAAGUCUUCAGGCGAAGAGAGUUGCCGAAUGAGGUGUCUCGCUUGUUACUAAUUUGUCAAAGUAACGAAUCCUUGUUUCGAUGUCACACAUUCGCAUAUGCCUUAUCUAAAAAUAUUUCCAACUUUUGUGUGUUUGAUGCUGCAUGCUAUUGACUAGACAAGAUCAAGUGCAAUUAGUAGCUUUUCUCUCUUUUUCAUCUUUUCUUUGGUGGAAUUGCUUUUCGUUUCCACUAAUCAGCCUGAGUGGAUGCAA
rnacentral:sRNA from 1 species